rnacentral:rRNA from 1 species
UACGGAGGGGGGCUAGCGUUGUUCGGAAUUACUGGGCGUAAAGCGCACGUAGGCGGCUUUGUAAGUUAGAGGUGAAAGCCCGGAGCUCAACUCCGGAAUUGCCUUUAAGACUGCAUCGCUCGAAUCAUGGAGAGGUGAGUGGAAUUCCGAGUGUAGAGGUGAAAAUUCGUAGAUAUUCGGAAGAACACCAGUGGCGAAGGCGACUCACUGGACAUGUAUUGACGCUGAGGUGCGAAAGCGUGGGGAGCAAACAGG